rnacentral:rRNA from 1 species
UACGGGGGAGCAAGCGUUGUUCGGAUUUACUGGGCGUAAAGGGCGCGUAGGCGGUCGUGACAAGUCACUUGUGAAAUCUCCGGGCUUAACUCGGAACGGUCAAGUGAUACUGUCGGACUAGAGUACAGAAGGGGCAACUGGAAUUCUCGGUGUAGCGGUGAAAUGCGUAGAUAUCGAGAGGAACACCUGCGGCGAAGGCGGGUUGCUGGGCUGAUACUGACGCUCAUGCACGAAAGCGUGGGGAGCAAACAGGAUUAGAU